GCUUGAAUUGGGACAACAUUGAUACUUUCUAAAUAUGAAUUUUUAUAUGUAUCAUCUAAAUAUGUUUUUUUUUAAUAUACCUUUUUACUUAUUAAUCUAGUUAAAAAUAUGAAUUUUUAUGUUAGAAGUACAUAUAUAUAUUUAUAUAUGUAUACAUAUAUAUGUGUGUGCGUGUAUACAUAAUUUAGGCAAUUUAGGCUAUGUUGCCUUGCUUCAAAAAAGCUCUCGCCUCGCCUCGCCUCGCCUCGUCGCCUUAAUAACAUUGACUACCACAUCUAAAAUUCUCAACAAAGCACGAACAAUGCAUUAAUCCAGCAAUCAGUGAUUGAAAAUUUGCGAUGAUCGACAUGUAAUUUUUAAUACAAUGAUAAACAAUUCAAAAUAUGCAAAGAAUAGCUCAUUAAUAGAGCCUAGUAGCGCUACUUCCUCUUGCCCUCUCUAAAAUUCCAAAUUUGUAUUAGCAAAUACACGAGGGAAGAAGGAAAGGAGUGGCAUUGCCGACGUUGAGAACAUAAACAUGAAGAGUUGCAGAGAAUCUAGAAUCUCACAAGGAAAGAACAUGAAGAUCGGCAUCACCUAUGCGAGAAUUGCUCUGAAAGCUACAACGAGAUGAGUUGUGACUCAUGAGCAUAGAGGAGAGAAAGCCAAGUUUGAGUAUCUGAAGUUCACUAAAUGAACUCUUAAAUUUGGACUAGGG
rnacentral:misc_RNA from 1 species